rnacentral:lncRNA from 1 species
AAGAUUCUUCCAAGCCUUGAUUCAGCUGCGCCUUUGAUUUUCUUAUGAACUCUGAAUUCAGUGAAUUCAAAUAAACGCGGACUUUAGGAAGCUUUGAGUUGGAGCCAAACAUAGGUUAGCAUAUUUAAAGACUUUUGCAGAUACAUUAAUUCAUCCCAAAGUGUAGAUGUAUAAACUUUCAAGAGACCUAAAUGGUCCUCUCUCAUCCAGUUAUGGGCCAGAGGACCCAAGGAAUCCUUGAAACUCAGUCUCUCAGGUCUAUGUAGAUUGGCUCCCAAACCACCCAGCGUUGAAUAUCUUCAAAGGUCAGUUGGCAUUGAAAGAUAGGACUAAAUCCUGCAUCCUGGAACCUUUUCCAUUUUCUCGUAAUAUCAAGAUUGUGCUGCAAACACCUUCUUCAACCUCUGGGAAAAGAAACAGGAUACAGUACAACGAGAUUAACCAGGAAAGAGCCAGCAACCUGUUCAACCUCCCGUCCAGAUGGAGGUGUCAGCCUCAGCCAUAAGCCUGAUCGUGGCGAACAAUUUCCAGUGCUGAACAUCCCAAAACUCAUCUGCUGGGCAUUAAAACUCGAGAAAUUCCCACAUUAACUACUGCCAGAGUUUUUGUCAGCAAAAUAUAACCAUGGUUUAUCACCCAAAGUUGAUACAUUUUUAUCCAAAAGGAAAUACAGUUGAUCCUC